GAUGAACGCUGGCGGCGUGCUUAACACAUGCAAGUCGAACGAUGAAGCCCAGCUUGCUGGGUGGAUUAGUUGCGAACGGGUGAGUAACACGUGAGUAACCUGCCCUUCACUCUGGGAUAAGCCUCUUCAACUGGGUCUAAUACCUGAUAGGAGCGUCCACCGCAUGGUGGGUUUUGGAAAGAUUUAUCGGUUUUGGAUGGACUCGAGGCCUAUCAGCUUGUUGGUGAGGUAAUGGCUCACCAAGGCGAGGACGGGUAGCCGGCCUGAGAGGGUGACCGGCCACACUGGGACUGGGACAGGGCACAGAGGCCAACGGGAGGCAGGAGUGGGGAAUAGGGCACAAUGGGCGCAAGGCUGAUGGAGGGACGCCGGGUGGGGGAUGACGGCUUUCGGGUUGUAAAACUCGUUCAGGAGGGAAGAAGCGAAAGUGAGGGAACCUGCAGAAGAAGCACGGGCUAAUUACGU
rnacentral:rRNA from 1 species